UUUUUUUUUUUUUUUUUUUAUGGAGUGGAGCUGGGACCACUCUUUUAUCCUUCCAUCAUGUUUCGUAAGUUGUGCCAUGUCUCCUCGUCGUCACUUGUUUCGUCAUCUGACGAGACAGAAGAUAAGUCGUAAUGACUUUCAUACUGAACCAUGUAAUUUUCAUACCGUGUUUCAAUAUGAAAGGGUUUUGGACUUGGCAAAUAUUCAUAGUGGACAUAUAUCCAAGAAUAUGUAUCCGUAUGGACAAGCGCAUACUCUAGAUAUCAGUAUUUUUAUCAGCUAUCGACAACUGUCUUUGCUCGCUAUUUAUUGAGUUGGACGAAGUGAUCUUCGUGACGGAUGAUAAAGAGAAGGAAAUUUUGUAUUCAGGUAGCAGUAAUGGAUCGCUUGUUGUAGCUCUCCAUUUGCUAAUACUUCUUGAUGUGUUGAAAUGAUUUAUAUGUUGACUGGUUUUUGGCGUAGUAAUAGUCUUCUGACUUCUUGAAGGACUCUAUUUCCCAAAAACCUUGUCAUUUCACAAUCAGAUUUUGUAACUCGGACUCCAGUUAACAUUCCUCAUUUGAAUAAUUCUCGUGCGUCUAGAUAUCGAGUUUCAGAUAUCUGCGCUGUUUUGAAGCGAGGGAUGUUGAAAUCUAAGUUGUGCUCACAAUCUGGAUAGACGAGAGGAAUUCGAUUAGGAUGUUCUUGAGUGCAGUGAAAGUGAGGUUUUGAAUAGAACUCCCAUUCCCAUGACCAUCCAUUGUGAUUCUGCUGAUUGUUUUUUGUAAAAUUGAGACAUUUUUUUGAAAACAUCCAGUUGUUCCUUGGUUCUGGACUGGAUGAUGUUUUGUAGGAUUUUCUCGUGGAUCUCUUGAGGAAGACCGUUAAGAACUUGUUGCCUGAAUUUCUUCGAAAGACAACAAGUUUGAAAAUGAUCAUAACGAACUGGCUCUACUGUCUAUUGAG
rnacentral:misc_RNA from 1 species